rnacentral:rRNA from 1 species
GGGCUUCGGCUCUCACCGGAGGAUGAGCUCGCGUCCCAUUAGCUAGUUGGCGGGGUAACGGCCCACCAAGGCUCAGAUGGGUAACUGGUCUGAGAGGAUGAUCAGUCACACUGGAACUGAGACACGGUCCAGACUCCUACGGGAGGCAGCAGUGGGGAAUAUUGCGCAAUGGACGAAAGUCUGACGCAGCAACGCCGCGUGGGUGAUGAAGGCCCUUGGGUCGUAAAGCCCUGUCAGGAGGGAAGAAUGAGCAGGUGGUUAAUACCCAUCUGAAGUGACGGUACCUCCAAAGGAAGCACCGGCUAACUCCGUG